rnacentral:rRNA from 1 species
AAACUCAAAGGAAUUGACGGGGGNNNNCACAAGCGGUGGAGCAUGUGGUUUAAUUCGACGCAACGCGAAGAACCUUACCUGGGCUCGAAAUGUACAGGACAGUCGUAGAAAUACGAUCUCCCAGCGAUGGGUCUGUAUAUAGGUGCUGCAUGGCUGUCGUCAGCUCGUGUCGUGAGAUGUUGGGUUAAGUCCCGCAACGAGCGCAACCCUUAUCUCUAGUUGCUACCAUUUAGUUGAGCACUCUAGCGAAACCGCCUCGGAUAACGGGGAGGAAGGUGGGGAUGACGUCAAGUCCUCAUGGCCUUUAUGUCCAGGGCUACACACGUGCUACAAUGGCCGGUACAAACCGCUGCAACCCCGCGAGGGUGAGCUAAUCGGAAAAAGCCGGCCUCAGUUCGGAUUGGAGUCUGCAACUCGACUCCAUGAAGCUGGAAUCGCUAGUAAUCGUGGAUCAGCAUGCCACGGUGAAUACGUUCCCGGGCCUUGUACACACCGCCCGUCACAUCACGAAAGUGGGUUGCACUAGAAGUCGGUGCGCUAACCGCAAGGGAGCAGCCGCCCGAGGUGUAAUUCAUGAUUGGGGUGAAGUCGUAACAA